AUGAGCCCCUUCGUUUGCACUCUACUCUUCCCCGAUACACCCCUUCUCCCGCGGAAGCCCGCGCCUUUCAAACGCGCUACAACCAUCCGAUGCCGCGCCGCGCCGCCCCCGGGAGACGCCGCUCUCCGCGCCUUCCGCGUGCACCACAUCGCUGGGCACUCCCUCGGCGCCAACCCCGCCCUGUUGCCCGCCCUCGCGGCCUGCGCGCGGCUGCUGACGGCGGCGGCCGAAGCCGAGCAGAUCCACGCCCUCCUCUUCAAGUCCGGCCUCCCUAGUUCCGUCUCCGGCGUCUACGCCUCCACCUCCCUCGCCCGUGUCUACUCGCGGCUCGGCCGCCUGGGUGACGCGCGGAAGGUGUUUGAUGGAAUGCCUGAGAGGACGUUGGUUUCUUGGAACGUGCUUCUUGACGGCCUUGUCAGAGCCAGCGAUUUGGAUGCCGCCUGGGAGGUGUUUGCGGAAAUGCCGGAGCGGAAUGUGUCUUCUUGGAAUACUGUUAUGGCUGGUUUCGUUAGUCAUGGGUGGGCUCAAGAGGCAGUGGAGUUGUUUUCUGAGAUGACAGAGGUUUAUGGUUUGACGCCGGAUGAGGCCACGAUGGUUGGCUUUGUAUCUGCUGUUCGCAGUCUCGGUCUACUUGGACUUGGGAGGACCGCACAUGGUUAUGUAAUCCGGCAGGAGUUCUCACUGGAUGGUGCUCUUGGUGUUGCUCUGAUCAACAUGUACACAAGGUGUGGGUGCAUGGGUGCGGCAUACCAAUGCUUCUCAAGCGUCAUCAGCAAGAAUGUGGAGCACUGGACCUCUGUCAUCGGGGGUUUCGCAGCACAUGGUCACCCAGAGAUGGCACUGAAAUUGUUUGCCGAGAUGAGGCAAUUGGGCGUCAAGCCGAAUGGUGUCACCUUCGUGGCCGUCUUGAAUGCCUGCAGCCAUGGUGGUCUUGUUGAUGAAGGUUUUAGGUACUUCAACCUAAUGCGCAACAUGGGUAUCAGGCCAUCGAUCCAGCACUAUGGCUGCUUGGUGGAUCUUCUUGGUCGUGCUGGGUUCUUGGAAGAAGCCUUCAACCUCGCUAGCAGUCUACCAGAAGAGCAGGGCUUUGUGAUGUGGAGCUCACUACUAGCUGCUUGCCAAACCCAUGGCAAUGUCGACAUGGCAGAGGUUGCUGCCCAGAAGUUGGCAGACACAAAGCCAAGCCAUGGCAGCUCAUAUAUUUUGCUAUCAAACGCCUAUGCACGUGCUGGUCAAUGGGACGACUUGAAGAGGACAAGAAGCAGGAUGGAGGAGCAUAGGGUGGUGAAGAAGCCUGGGCUCAGCUGGAUCGAGGUUGAUGGCAGUUUACAUUCCUUUGUCACUGCAGACAAGUUACACACAGAAAGCGAAGAUAUUUAUCAUAUGUUGGAAGACUUGAAACUUAAUUUGAUAUCAGCUGGUUCCGAACCUGAAACAUUUGAUCUUCCUGAAGUUUGA
rnacentral:rRNA from 1 species